CAACUUUCAACAACGGAUCUCUUGGCUCUUGCAUCGAUGAAGAACGCAGUGAAAUGCGAUACGUAAUGUGAAUUGCAGAAUUCCGUGAAUCAUCAAAUCUUUGAACGCAAAUUGCACUCCUUGGUAUUCCGAGGAGUAUGCUUGCUUGAGGGUCG
rnacentral:rRNA from 1 species